rnacentral:lncRNA from 1 species
UGUCUUCCUGAUAUUGUUUUGUAUAGUAAGGAGUCUCUUGGGAGUUAUCCAGAAACCAAGUCAGGAAAAGACAAUAUUGAGGAACAAAAUAAAAGCCUUCCUGGACUCACUUACCUAGAGACACAACCAGAAGCGAAAGAAUCAGAAGGAGCGGAUUUCCAAGGCCCGCCACGAGACUGGAGUCUGAGUCUUCCGGUCCAGGAGGGAACCGCGCUCGGCCCCGCAGUCUCCUCCCCUGCCUACUACC